rnacentral:rRNA from 1 species
CCGGUCCCUUGCCGUAAAACCCCAUAAUUUUUUAAAGGUUGACCUCGGAUCAGGUAGGAAUACCCGCUGAACUUAAGCAUAUCAAUAAGCGGAGGAAAAGAAACCAACAGGGAUUGCCCUAGUAACGGCGAGUGAAGCGGCAACAGCUCAAAUUUGAAAUCUGGCCCUCGGGUCCGAGUUGUAAUUUGUAGAGGAUGCUUUUGGCGCGGUGCCUUCCGAGUUCCCUGGAACGGGACGCCUUAGAGGGUGAGAGCCCCGUACGGUUGGACACCAAGCCUCUGUAAAGCUCCUUCGACGAGUCGAGUAGUUUGGGAAUGCUGCUCUAAAUUGGAGGUAAAUUUCUUCUAAAGCUAAAUAUUGGCCAGAGACCGAUAGCGCACAAGUAGAGUGAUCGAAAGAUGAAAAGCACUUUGAAAAGAGGGUUAAAUAGCACGUGAAAUUGUUGAAAGGGAAGCGUUUGCGACCAGACCUUUUCCUAGCGGAUCAUCCGGUGUUCUCACCGGUGCACUUCGCUAAGUUUAGGCCAGCAUCGGUUUUCGUAGGGGGAUAAAAGCUCUGGGAACGUAGCUCCUCCGGGAGUGUUAUAGCCCUCUGCAUAAUACCCUUACGGGGACCGAGGACCGCG